GGCGGCGUGCCUAAUACAUGCAAGUCGAACGAGGGUGCUUGCACCCUAGUGGCGAACGGGUAGAGUAACACGUAGGUAACCUAGCCCUUAACGCUUGGGAGUACCCAGAGGAAACUUUGGCUAAUACCGGAUAACAACAGAAGAGGCAUCUCUUCAGUUGAAAGGCCCUUACGGGUCGACUUAAGGAUGGACCUGCGGCGCAUUAGUUAGUUGGUGAGAUAAAAGCCCACCAAGACGAGGAUGCGUAGCCGACCUGAGAGGGUGAUCGGCCACAUUGGAACUGAGACACGGUCCAAACUCCUACGGGAGGCAGCAGUAAGGAGUUUUCGGCAAUGGGGGAAACCCUGACCGAGCAACGCCGCGUGAGUGAUGACGGCCCUAUGGGUUGUAAAGCUCUGUUGUAAGGGACGAAUGACUAGCUUAGGAAAUGAAGUUAGUUUGACGGUACCUUACCAGAAAGCCACGGCUAACUACGUGCCAGCCGCGGC
rnacentral:rRNA from 1 species